GACAGAGGGUGCAAACGUUGUUCGGAAUUACUGGGCGUAAAGCGCGUGUAGGCGGUUGCACAAGUCGGGUGUGAAAGCCCAGGGCUCAACCCUGGAAGUGCACUCGAAACUAGGCGACUUGAGUCUCGGAGAGGAAAGCGGAAUUCUGGGUGUAGAGGUGAAAUUCGUAGAUAUCCAGAGGAACACCGGUGGCGAAGGCGGCUUUCUGGACGAGUACUGACGCUGAGACGCGAAAGCGUGGGGAGCAAACAGG
rnacentral:rRNA from 1 species